AUGAGUGUGCCAACUCAGCUCCUGGUAUUUCUGUUGCUGUGGUUUACAGAUGUCAGAUGUGACAUCCAGAUGAUCCAGAAUCCAGCCUCCCUGUCUGCAACUGUGGGACAAACUGUCACUAUCACAUGUAAAGCAAGUGAGGACAUUGACUACGAUUUAAAUUGGUAUCAGCAGAAACAGGGAAAGUCUCCUCAGCUCAUGAUCUAUGGGGCAACCAGAUUGGAAGAUGGGGUCCCAUCAAGGUUCAGUGGCCAUGGUUCUGGCACACAGUAUUCUCUGAAGAUGAACAGCCUGCAGGCUGAUGAUGCUGCAAGUUAUUUCUGUCAACAAGGUUAUAGUACUCCUCCCACAGUGAUUCUGGUCACAUAA